UUUUAAUACAAUUGAAAGAAAAAAUGAAUGGUAUCCAAUUUCAGGAUUUUUAUAAAAAAAGAUUCCAAAAGUAUAACGUUGACUUUUUAAUACGAUUGAAAGAGAAAAUGGAUAUUCGAUUUCAAGGUAUCCUAUUGUCUAUUUGUUUUGUUGAUAAAGGACUUUUAUAGAGAUUCCAAAAGUGUAACGUUGACUUUUUAAUACGAUUGAAAGAGAAAAUGGAUAUUCGAUUUUAAGACUUUUACUUGGUUAUGACGAUUGAGAGAGAAAAUAGUAUUCCAUUUGUCUAAUUACGACGAACCAUUCAAUUUUCGCUCCUAUUGUAUCUAUACAUUAUUAGAAUAUU